rnacentral:rRNA from 1 species
AUUGAACGCUGGCGGCAGGCCUAACACAUGCAAGUCGAGCGGAUGAAGGGAGCUUGCUCCUGGAUUCAGCGGCGGACGGGUGAGUAAUGCCUAGGAAUCUGCCUGGUAGUGGGGGAUAACGUCCGGAAACGGGCGCUAAUACCGCAUACGUCCUGAGGGAGGAAGAGGGGGAUCUUCGGACCUCACGCUAUCAGAUGAGCCUAGGUCGGAUUAGCUAGUUGGUGGGGUAAAGGCCUACCAAGGCGACGAUCCGUAACUGGUCUGAGAGGAUGAUCAGUCACACUGGAACGGAGACACGGUCCAGACUCCUACGGGAGGCAGCAGUGGGGAAUAUUGGACAAUGGGCGAAAGCCUGAUCCAGCCAUGCCGCGUGUGUGAAGAAGGUCUUCGGAUUGUAAAGCACUUUAAGUUGGGAGGAAGGGCAGUAAGUUAAUACCUUGCUGUUUUGACGUUACCAACAGAAUAAGCACCGGCUAACUUCGUG